CCCGUCGCGGUCUCAGCCGAAGAGGCCGGAGUAGGAGCCGAAGCCUGAAGCCUGAGCAGGUUCUGAAAAACGGACCGGCAGUUCAGGACUAGGCCCUGAACCACAACUUGCUCCUCAGGUCCGGGUCGGAAGUGACGACUUCAUUCACUGAGCAGCCAUUUCCGGUUCCCAGUGUGCCCGGAGUGCCUUCUGGGUGUCAGAAAAGACACAGAAAUUGACGGGGCGGAACCGCGACACGGUGCCUGCUGAUGUCAAAAGGUCUCACGGCUCCGGGGGGACCCAGUCGCCCACAGCCGCCAGGGGCGCUGCCGGCCCCGAGCCCGUUGUCGAGAGCGGCUGGGCUGCUCGUGUCUGCCCUUCAGUCCUUCACAAGUCUUCUCGGACCUAGAGUUCCUGGAUCUCACUGCGAUCUUGGAGGAUUCCUAUGUAGAAUUCGCAAGGAUAUAGGGAAGGAAAAAAACCAAAAGACCUCUAACUUUGUUUCCGCCCGGUUUCGAACCAGGGACCUUUAAAAGCUUGUGAGGCGAACGUGAUAACCACUACACUACGGAAACCGAAUGGCAGGUGAUAUUUUGCAAACAGCUCUUAAAAGGUAGCGCCUCAUCACCGCGUCCCUGGCUCAAGAGAAAAGUACCCGGCGGGCCAACCACAGCUUUGGGAUCGGGGCGCGCAGGGAAGUAGUCAGCAAAACAGCAGGAGAGAAGAAAGAUAACAUGCGGAAGCAACAUUUGAAGAGAUAAUGGCUGAGAACUUUCUAAAACUGAUGAAUGACUGCAUCUUCAGAUUCAAGGAGUUCAGCAAAUUCCAUGCCGGACUGAAACGGCUUGAUUGUCUGGGGUGAUACCGGAGAGAUGUUAUGCUAAGCUGCCCAGGCUGCUCUCAAACUCCUGGGUUCAAGCGAUCCUCCUGCCUUGGCCUCCCGAGUAUGUUGAAUUUUGACACUGAAACAUGCAGUCUCUCAGAUUCGUUUCCUGCUCAGAUUCUGGAUUGAGGAAGGCGGGGAGUGAGACCACGACAAAGAACCGACUAGGAAGAAGCUGUCACCCUUGAUGGAAUGGGCAAAGAGAAAAAGCAAUCAUUUGGGCAUAGGGCCCAGCUGGACUCCUGGGUGAAAGGGCUCCCUAAUGACCUUACCCGGUGGUUCUCAAGACUGACUUCAGGAUCAUCUGGGAGAAGCUGAAAGGCACAGGCAGUGUUCACCACCUUGAACUGAAGAUCACUGAGCACGGCUUUGGGGGAAACCACCGCAGUGACAUCAGAAAGCAGAAAUGCAGACUUCCCUGACCGGGAAUCGAACCCGAGCCACGGCAGUGAAAACGGCGAAUCCUAGCCACUAGACCACCAGGGAGGGACAGUCACAGAAUGUGGGCAACACUUUCUGGGAAAAGAUCUUAGGACAGACGCCUCAACCACCUCAGGCACAUGUUAGAAAGCUACAGGAAUGUCUUAAGAAUAUUUUGCAGUAAUGUGUAUAGUACUGGAUGCAGUGACUGCUGCCUGGGCCAGAGGGUGGCAGAAGGCUUUAGGGGCAGAAACGUUGGAAGAAAGAUUGUCACAAGUCAAACUGGGGAAGAGAAAAAUAUUUUCCAAAUCAUUUUUCUCACGGACUCCCUCUUACACGGGAGUUUCUCAUCUCCCUUCCUCCCUCCCUCCCGCACUCCUUCUUUCUUCCUAAAAUCAGCAUCUCCUUCACUUACAUAGUUUCCCCACGGUUGACUGAGAAAAACAUGUGUCUCUUUUGCCCCCCUCCCCCAAAGGAUCCUAUUCCUGAUCUCUAAAUAUGCCCCUCCCCAUGCAGAGGGAGGAGCAUUCAGAGCCUGGGAGACCUGCCUACCUGGAGCUGCACCCAUCUUUGAGGCCAUGCUCUGUUUCCUGGAACCUGAAAUGGAUUUACCUAUUCUAUGUACUUCACAGAAAUGAAAUCACAUAAUGUGUCACAUUUUGUACAGUUUCUCUCACUUGGCAUAGUUUUGGGUUCAUUCAUGUCAUAGUACGUGCUAGGACUUCAUUUCUUCUAUGGCCAAAUAAUAUUUUAUGUAUAUACCACAUUUCCUUUAUCCAUUCAUCUGUUGAUGGGCAUUUGGGUUGUUUCCACCUUUUGGGUGUUGUGAAUAUUGCUGCUAUGAACAUUUAUGUACAAGCA